rnacentral:rRNA from 1 species
UACGUAGGGGGCAAGCGUUGUCCGGAUUUAUUGGGCGUAAAGAGCGUGUAGGCGGCUAGGUAGGUCGGUUGUGAAAACUGGAGGCUUAACCUCCAGCUGUCGAUGGAAACCAUCUGGCUAGAGUCCGGAAGAGGAGAGUGGAAUUCCUGGUGUAGCGGUGAAAUGCGCAGAUAUCAGGAAGAACACCCGUGGCGAAGGCGGCUCUCUGGGACGGUACUGACGCUGAGACGCGAAAGCGUGGGGAGCGAACAGG